rnacentral:rRNA from 1 species
AAAUUGAAGAGUUUGAUCAUGGCUCAGAUUGAACGCUGGCGGCAGGCCUAACACAUGCAAGUCGAACGGUAACAGGAAGCAGCUUGCUGCUUCGCUGACGAGUGGCGGACGGGUGAGUAAUGUCUGGGAAACUGCCUGAUGGAGGGGGAUAACUACUGGAAACGGUGGCUAAUACCGCAUAACGUCGCAAGACCAAAGAGGGGGACCUUCGGGCCUCUUGCCAUCAGAUGUGCCCAGAUGGGAUUAGCUUGUUGGUGAGGUAACGGCUCACCAAGGCGACGAUCCCUAGCUGGUCUGAGAGGAUGACCAGCCACACUGGAACUGAGACACGGUCCAGACUCCUACGGGAGGCAGCAGUGGGGAAUAUUGCACAAUGGGCGCAAGCCUGAUGCAGCCAUGCCGCGUGUAUGAAGAAGGCCUUCGGGUUGUAAAGUACUUUCAGCGGGGAGGAAGGUGUUGUGGUUAAUAACCACAGCAAUUGACGUUACCCGCAGAAGAAGCACCGG